GCCAUAUCUUAAAAGUCUGCGGAAUAGCUAGGCCUAUUCGUAAAAAUUCACGAUUUUACACUUUCUGAUCAACAUCGAAUACGCUAUUGAUAAAGUUAAUGAUGCUGACCAUGCUGACGUAGUUGUAAUAUGAGACGCACCACGCCAUUUCGAUCAACUGGUCAAGAACAAAGGAAAUCCAAGUUUAUUUUGCAUGGAGAAAGAAGGUAUCAGUAAGACAAAGACAGCCAAUCAUGUGAAGCAGCGAUCAAAGAAAAGAAGAAAAUUAAAAAGAAGUCGGAGAUUUCACAAACAUGAAGUUGAGGAAGAAGUUAAGUGUGCCUCUUCCGCGUCUGAUUCAGAUGAAUCUCUAGGGACUUUUUGCGAUAGAUAUGAAAGAAAACAGAAAACAAAGAAAGAUGUAAAUCCAAAUCCCCCGGUCAGUGCCCAAGAGGAUACACCUUUAUCUACAAGCCUUUUCCAGGACCCAUUGAUGAAGGACUUUAAAUCUUAUGUUGCAACAAAGAACAAAUUAAAGAGGAAAU